CUUUUAUCCUUUCAUCAUUUCAUGCCUUCAUCUUUUCAUCCUUAAUUUUUAAAAUCGUAAGAAGACCUUUUCUACUCUCUACUGCACUUUCGGACCAAAUUCAAUCAGCAUUAUUUGACUUUCGUUUUAGUCUUUGCCACAAACUCUGAUUUUCUUAUCCCCAUUUCUUGACAACACAACACAAUGGACUAAAGAUAUUUCAAAAUAUGAAUUCUGUUAAAGCAAAUAAUCUAAGUUUGAAAAGAUAAAGGUCUUAGAAAAGUUGAGACUGCUGCAGAGACUCUAUUCCUUUGUCUUUUUAAAUACCUUUUUGUGGUUCAAAAUAACCUGACGCGGGUAAAAAGUAUUGUCUUACACAGGCAAUGCCAACUUCAUGAUAAAAUGAAGCAAAACUUUGCCUGUACAGUGAAACCCAAUUCAAUCAUCAUCAAUCAAUUUUCUUCAAUAUAAAGGAUAAACAAUAUUUAAUGAAUGUACCGUAUAAAGCUGGUUCAACAAGUGUUAGAGCAUUCUUUGUAGAUAAUAAACAAUUUAAUGCAACAGUAGGUGGUUGUGGACAUGAAUGUACAGAAAGGAAUAUCGAUGAAAAUAUAUAAUAUUAUAUAAUUGGG